rnacentral:rRNA from 1 species
GAUGAACGCUGACAGAAUGCUUAACACAUGCAAGUCGACUGUGGCGGACGGGUGAGUAACGCGUAAAGAACUUGCCUCACGGAUAGGAACAACAUUUGGAAACGAAUGCUAAUACCUGAUACUGUGAGAGAGCUUUGCGUCCCAUUAGCGAGUUGGAGAGGUAACGGCUCACCAAGGCGAUGAUGGGUAGCCGGCCUGAGAGGGUGAUCGGCCACAAGGGGACUGAGACACGGCCCUGAGUCCUGCGGGAGGCAGCAGUGGGGAAUAUUGGACAAUGGACCAAAGUCUGAUCCAGCAAUUCUGUGUGUACGAUGAAGUUUUCGGAAUGUAAAGUGCUUUCUGUUGGGAAGCGGUACCAACAGAAGAAGAGACGGCUGAAUACGUGCCAGCAGCCGCGGUAAUUC